GGGAGAGUGGCGGAAUUGGUAUACGCAGGGUGUAGAGUUAUACACGAAGUGCAAGGAAUUAAUGAGAUGCGCAACCUUGAUGACACGUGCAAAGAACCCCGAAUAUCUCUACUUGCAGGUUCGACUCCUGCCUCUCCCACCA
rnacentral:tRNA from 1 species